rnacentral:rRNA from 1 species
GGGGACGUAACAAAGCGACCCAGGAAUGCUUGGGCGUGCCUCCACCCACGCCGGCGUCGGCGGGCGUAUUUCGCCUCACAGUAGGUCGCCGCGACCCGUUGCUUUUGGGGACGUCGAAGGCCCGGACGGAUUGGUACCCUACCGGCUGGGGAUGCGGCUUCGGCUUCUCCUCUUGUCCGGUGGGCGAAACCGCCGGUGUCCUGGCUGCCCUGCGACGGUCGUAGAGACGAGCCCUCCCCUUCGGGGGGGCGGCUCUCGCGGCGUGCAAAAGGUCGGUGAUCCACCCGACCCGUCUUGAAACACGGACCAAGGAGUCUAACAUGUGUGCGAGUCAGUGGGCGCACUAAACCCAGAGGCGUAAUGAAAGUGACACGGGUUCGGCUGUCGCCUCGUGUGGCAGCCGGACUCAGGGCCGAUCCCUCACCGGUUGUCCUCGCCUUUCUCCCGCGUCUCGGUAAGCCGGGUGAGCUAUUUUCCCCGGCCGCUGCUGCGGGGCUCGGGGGGAGGCGGGGUGCGAUGGUGUCUGUAAAAAAGAGCCUGCUGUUGCAGGGGGGCGCAGGCCCGGGACUUGCCAGGACGCCGCGAGACUGUCACUUUGCUGUGAGGCUCUCGGGCCGAUCAGCGGGUCAUGCGUGCAGUCGGCAAGUACCAUGAGCAGACAUGUUGGGACCCGAAAGAUGGUGAACUAUGCCUGGCCAGGAUGAAGCCAGAGGAAACUCUGGUGGAGGUCCGUAGCGAUUCUGACGUGCAAAUCGAUCGUCGGAGCUGGGUAUAGGGGCGA